GCUGGUGUUAGGUCAGUGCCCGGCCAGAGGUUCACGAUAUCUAUGGAAAGCAGGUUGCAAUGGCUCGGGCGGGAGAGUGUAAUUGAUGGACAAACUCAAGCACUCAAAGGCCACCCAUUUGCUUCCCACCUCAAACCUCUUAGCCAGUGAUACAGAGAGAAGAAGAGGAGGAAGAGCUUGGUGACGCAAGGUGAGCUGAAGGAGAGCCGCUUGGGUGAGGAUUAUGAAGGCACGGGUGCCAUGGAAACCACUCUGAAGGCCCCCUAAAGCUGCAGCUGUCAGGAGGGGCUGUCUGCUGCCAUUGGUCGGCCACGUGGACCCUCUCCCUAACACGAUGCGUGACUUUUAUUUAUUUUACUCUGUUUUGCAUCUUAUGCCUGCUCUCGGCUUCUCUUGGCUUCCUCACAGUCCUGGUGCAGGAUGCUGCCUGCAGGUCAGUAGGAUAAAGGUGCUAAUGUUUUCUGUUUCUCUUUUUUGAACUUCUGACUUUUUAGGCUCAUUUUCUGGUGCUCUCUCCUCCAUGCCAUAAGGCAGCACAGAUUUCAAGCCAUAGAUGUUGGAGGCAGAAAAUGGGAUUAUGUUAGACAGAGAGGGAAGCCAGCUCUUCUAGCAGGUGCUGUAGAAAUGGCUUCUGAUUUUGGUCACAGAAGCAGUCCCUAACUUUCCCUGCAAAUCCAAGAAGCCCUCAAAGGGGCCAAAGGCAGGCUCUUUAGCACAAUGUCAAUCUGAGCAGAAUGGAAGGGUUGCCAGAGGUUGCUAGUGAGAUUCAAAGCCCUGUGGGUGCCUUGAUCUUCCUAAGCUUGCUUUUAGAGAAGUGUGCUGUCGAAACUUCAGGAGGCCGCCAGCUUCUGGUUGGACCUCAACCUCCUCCUCCCUCAACCUCCUCCUCCCUUUGAGUAGGAAUCAGAAGAAUCUUUUACAUUAGCCUUUGCCUUGAUAGUUUUUAUAUCCUUCAUUUUAUUUCUUUCCAGCAAUGGCCCUGAGAAAUUGGCAGGCGAAGUGCCAUUAACCCUGCAUUGGAGAGGAGGAAAUUGAGACCCAAUUUUUUUUUUUUUUUUUUGAGACAGAGUCUCGCUUUGUCACCCAGGCUGGAGUGCAGUGGUGCGAUCUCAGCUCGCUGAAAUCUCCACCUUUCUGGUUCAAGUGAUUCUCAUGCCUCAACCUUCCGAGUAGCUGGGAUUACAGGCGUGUGCCACCAUGCCUGGCUAAUUUUUGUAUUUUUAGUAGAGACAGGGUUUCACCAUGUUGACCAGGCUGGACUUGAACUCCUGACCUCAAGCGAUCCACCUGCCUUAGCCUCCCAAAGUGCUGGGAUUAUAGUCGUGAGCCACUGUUUCCAACUGAGACCCAAUAAUUUAAGUAGAAGGGCUGGGACUGGGGCCUGAGGCUGCUGCUCCCUGCCUAAGGCUCUGAGACUGCUUGAUCACAGGGUCAAGAUCUUUGAUGAAGCCGCUUUCUCAAGCUGUGGGUGGGCUUUUCCUGGUAGGAAAUUUGCCUGAGACCUGGCAAAGAUGGGACCUUUUAAAUAGUGAAGGGAAAUGAGCAAUCCUUCCAAAGUCAAGUUCCUCAACGAAGCCCUUCUAAACACUGUCUCUCCUCCCUGCACACAUGCCUAUGUGCACACAAUACACAUGCUUGUUCAUGCUUUAUCCCUCUUGGUUAGGGGUCUAUCCCCAUCAAGCCAUUAAAGUUGUUCUGGUGGAAUCUCUGAUGACACAUUUUUUUUUUGGCUUGUGAAAACCAACCAUUUUGUUAUUUCAUGAGUUUAUGAGUUGACUGGGCUCAGCUGGGAGGUUCUUCUGGAUGGGGCUUCAGUCAUAAACAAACAUGACUAAGUCAGAGUCCCCAAGAUGUAUCACUCACAUCUGGCAUUUGAUGCUGACUCACUCUGGGCUGGCCACUCCACCAGGGCUGUUGACUGGAGAGGCUACACGUAUCCUAGGCUGGGAUUCUCACAGCAUGGGUGCCUGGGUCUGAGAGGGAGGGCCCCAAGAGAGCACAUUUUAAGAAAGAGGAAGUGAAAUGUGCCAGUCUUCAAGACUGGACCCAGAACUGGCAUAAUGUCACUUUUGCUGUGUUCUCCUGGUUGCCUGCUGACAUGUCAAGUACCACAUCAAGUGGGCCAUUUGGGGCCUCAUCUGAACUGAGCUCUCUGGCCACAUGAUGUAGCUGACCUGCCCCUUCUUGAAGCCCCCUCCUCCCCGGCUUCACUGCAUCCCUCUGUCUUGGUCUCGUCCCCCUCUGUGUUCCUGCCACACUUUGAUGAUUUCUGUUCUCCAGGUUUUCUCUUCCUUGUUUCAUUCUUGGCCUUUUCCUCUCUCAACUCCACACACUGUCCCAGAGACCCCAUCCAAGCCCAUGAUGUGAUGUCGUAUCUGUGCCAAGGAACUCCAAGUCUGCCACUCCAGCCCACACCUGAGAGCCAGCCUUGGGCAUCCAACUCUCCCAGACAUUCCUGCCCAGAGGCAGAUUCAAGAAUUCUAAAGUGCCUCUUGCUCAACCCAUCCAGAGAGGAGCUUGCCAUCCUUCUCCCAAACUUGUCUCUCCUUAUGAGGUCCCCAACUUGGUCCCCCGGACUUCUGACCCCAAUCAGCCCCUCUACCAUGUUCCUGGGUAACAGAAAAGGCACUACUUGGGUCAUCAGAAAAAAUAACUGGAAGUGAUUUAGAAAAAUAAA
rnacentral:lncRNA from 1 species